AUCCCUGCAGUGCAAUGAAUAGCGCGUUGGACUUUUAAUCCAAAGGUCAUGGGUUUGAUUCCCACCUGGAAUG